rnacentral:rRNA from 1 species
GAACGAAGUAGCAAUACUUAGUGGCAGACGGGUGAGUAACAUGUAGGUAUCUGCCCUUUGGCCUGGAAUAACACGAGGAAACUUGUGCUAAUACCGGAUAAGUCUUUACAGAGAAAGCUUUAUGCACCAUUGGAUGAGCCUGCACUUGAUUAGUUUGUUGGUGGGGUAAUGGCCUACCAAGACUUUGAUCAAUAGCUGAUUUGAGAGGAUGAUCAGCCACAUUGGGACUGAGACACGGCCCAAACUCCUACGGGAGGCAGCAGUGGGGAAUCUUGCACAAUGGAGGAAACUCUGAUGCAGCGAUGCCGCGUGAGUGAAGAAGGCCUUUGGGUUGUAAAGCUCUUUCGUCGGGGAAGAAAAUGACUGUACCCGAAUAAGAAGGUCCGGCUAACUUCGUGCCAGCAGCCGCGGUAAUACGAAGGGACCUAGCGUAGUUCGGAAUUACUGGGCUUAAAGAGUUCGUAGGUGGUUGAAAAAGUUGGUGGUGAAAUCCCAGAGCUUAACUCUGGAACUGCCAUCAAAACUUUUCAGCUAGAGUAUGAUAGAGGAAAGCAGAAUUUCUAGUGUAGAGGUGAAAUUCGUAGAUAUUAGAAAGAAUACCAAUUGCGAAGGCAGCUUUCUGGAUCAUUACUGACACUGAGGAACGAAAGCAUGGGUAGCGAAGAGGAUUAGAUACCCUCGUAGUCCAUGCCGUAAACGAUGUGUGUUAGACGUUGGAAAUUUAUUUUCAGUGUCGCAGGGAAACCGAUAAACACACCGCCUGGGGAGUACGACCGCAAGGUUAAAACUCAAAUGAAUUGACGGGGACCCGCACAAGUAGUGGAGCAUGUGGUUUAAUUCGAAGAUACGCGCAGAACCUUACCAACACUUGACAUGUUCGUCGCGACUCUAAGAGAUUAGAGUUUUCGGUUCGGCCGGACGAAACACAGGUGCUGCAUGGCUGUCGUCAGCUCGUGUCGUGAGAUGUUGGGUUAAGUCCCGCAACGAGCGCAACCCUCACUUUUAGUUGCCAUCAUUAAGUUGGGCACUCUGAAAGAACUGCCAGUGAUAAGCUGGAGGAAGGUGGGGAUGACGUCAAGUCCUCAUGGCCCUUACGUGUUGGGCUACACACGUGCUACAAUGGUAUCUACAACAGGAAGCAAAACAGCGAUGUUAAGCAAAUCCUUAAAAGAUACCUCAGUUCGGAUUGCACUCUGCAACUCGAGUGCAUGAAGCUGGAAUUACUAGUAAUCGUGGAUCAGC